GUUUAGAACUGUGUGCAUUUGUUUUGGAAGAAUUUGGGCUGUUUAGGCUAAAAUCCAUUAUGAUUGGACAGAAUAUGAACACACACAUCCAAUACUUCAAAGAUAUUAUGUUUGUGGAGGCAGAGAUUUUGAUUGCAUCCACUGUUUAGAAUACAUCCUUAAGGGAAGCAGACUGCCGCCUUUACCCAAUGAUAUAAUGAUUAAUCAUAACUAUAUCUGUUUUGUACCAAAUAGAAAGAGCAUUGAUUCAGGUCAUUUUCAAAUCCACUGGCAUACAUUGUACUAUACAUGCAACCUUUUCAAACUUUACAUUUAAGAUUUUAUAAAGGAAAUAUCUUAAUGUUUCACAUGUUUACCUUUCACUGUGCUAUGUAAUUCAUUAUACCUGCCAUUAUGCCAGUCUUCCUGAACAUAAUUUGUUUUCUGCAAUUUCAUUGGCCAAGAGGCUUAAUCCUGGGUUAUCAGAUUGAGCAUUUAUAUUUAGUAUCCCAUUGAUUUUGUCAGCCCUAUAUAAGGAGCUGACUCAGAUUUACUCACUCUGCUAGGUUAAAGAACUCUAAGGUUUGUACUUUUCACAUGAAUUUCGUGUUCGCCUCUUAUCUUUUACAUAGAGUAGGAAAUGAACAUAACAUUGAGUUAGGGAACUAUUUAGAUUUUACAUUAUAAUAUGUAAAUACCUUAGCAGAGUCAAUUUACUUGGUUCAGGGUAGUAUCAGAUAUUACUUUUUCAGAGUUUAAGUGUUUAGGCUAUCUCAAUGUUUCUAUAGUUAGCCUUGUCCUAUGCUACUUUUAGAUGUAUGGAAGCCUUUUAGUGUUAUAACACUAUAUUUAUGCCCCCAUUCAAAGAAGAGGGACAUAUUGGUUUGCACCUGUUGGUCGGUCGGUAGACCACAUGUUGUCCGCUUAAUAUCUUAAGAACCAUUCACUUGAUCGUAAUAUAUUUCAUAUGUGGGUUGGUUAUGAAAAGAAGAGGACCCCAAUUGUUUUUCAGGUCGAAAUGUCAAGGGUCAAUCUACUCUGGACAUAGGAAGACACUGCCUGCUCAAUAUCUUGAGAACCCUUUGCUUGACAGACAUCAAACUUGGUACACUGGUACAUCUCAAGGAGUAGAUUUAAGGUCAUAUGGUCAAAGGUCAAGGGGUAAACUGGACAUAGUAAUAUAUUGUCUCUUAUGUUUUAAGAAUUAUUUGCUUGAUUGACACCAAACCUGGUACAGCAUAAGGAGUAGAUGACCCCUAUUGAUUUUUAGGUCACUUGGUCAAUCCACUCCUGACAUAGGAAGAUAUUGUUUGCUCAAUAUUUCGAAUUGAUGAUACUACUAUCAAUCAAAUUAUGCAUAUGUAUAACCCUUUUCAAUUUUGCACCAUGGGGGCUUAUAUGUAAUUGUUUUACAAACACCUCAUGUUUUAUAGUUUGUGAAAGCUUGUUAGGGUCAUAACUUUAGAUUUUCUUAUUAUGGUACUUGCCCGUCAGAGACUGGACAUAUUAUGGUAUGGUGUUGUCUGUCCGGACCUUGUAAGAUAGGAUACAGACUGAACCGUAAGCUCUAGAAUCUUACAACUUGGUACAUUUGAUCACCAUAAAAGGAAGAUGCUUAUUGUUUUUUAAGGUCAAGGUUGUAGGUUCACUUAAUAGGAAAACCUUGUUCGAGAAAAUUACAGAUUCUUGAACUGAGUAUUUUGAGGAAACAUUACAUAGAAAGUACAUGAUUUGUCAAAUUUCUCCCAAUAUUCAACUGAGAACCUUAUUCUGCAGAGUAUUUGUAUGGGUAUGGAAAAUGUGUAUGUGGCUAUGAUUUUGAUUUUUGUUAAAAAAUUUGUUGUUGAAAAUUACAGGUUUAACCGAGUCAGUUUUUGAGGAAAUAUACAUGUAUUAAAUAAAUGACGGUUUGACCUUUUAACUCCUCUCACAGUUUUGAAGCUAGGGUCUUUGUAAAUAACUUCUUUGGUGUUUUAGAAUAUUUACAGAUUGUUGAUCAUGGUCAAUUUUGGGGAAAUAUUUUCCGCAGAGCUCUAGUUGUCUAUCUACCGGCCUCCUGUCACUUUUAAGUUUAGGAGCUUUUAUUCAUGGAAAGAAAGUAUGUGACAACCUGAUGAUGGCUGAUACUAUUUAAAGCCUUUUUAUACGCCCGUCUUAAGAUGGGACGUAUUAUGGUAUGGCGUUCAUGUCCGUCCGUCUGUUAGCUUUUUCGUGUCCGACCCGUAACUUAAAUACUACAAGGCCUAGAAUCAUCAAACUUUGUCUGUAGAUACAUCUUGGGUAGAAGGUGUGUCGCACAUUAAAACCAAGUAACUGUGACUUUUCAUUAGGAAGAUAUGGCCAUAUAUGGCAAAAACUUGUCCGACUCAUAACUUGAAAACUAUUAGACCUAGAAUCACCAAAAUUGGUCAACUAAUGCAUCUUAGGUAGAAGGUGUGUCGCAUCCUACUUUAAGGUCACUGUGACAUUUAAUUAAGGUGAUAUAAAAAAAAUGUUUUAAUGGGUACAAUCUAUACUGUUAACAAUAUGUGACGGGCAUAUCAUGUGCCAUGGCGGUGCACUUUAUUCUAGAAAUGGCAUCAGAAAAACACCCUAUGUAACCUUUUCUGCUUGUACUCAUUUAUUUUUAUUGGAAAACUUAUUACUUGUUAUCAGCUACUCUAAAACAAUAUUGACUUGUGCUAUAAUAAAUUUGUAAACUUUACAA